rnacentral:hammerhead_ribozyme from 1 species
AUCCAGGUGAUGAGUCCCAAAUAGGACGAAACGCGCAUUCUGGAU